UUGAUGGAAAGCUUCAAGACCCGAGCUCGAGUCCUGGUCCAAACUAUCUAACGAUUUCAAUUUUUUUAUGAAUCCUAUUUUAAAUACAAUUCUUAAAUGUUUUAACUUGAGACGAUCAUUUAUUUCUUCGGCAUUUAGAUUACUUGGUUUAGAAAUUUAUUAAAAUACAUUUGAAAAAAAUGUUUAAUAUUUACAAUAAAAAAAGAAUAUUGCAUGACAUUUGAUAAGAUAUUAGUAAUGGUAUUAUCGUGCCGUUUGAAUUCACGAAAUAGAUAUCUACGUGUAUAUAAGACCAGGUAAAAGCAAAAGCAACAGUUCCAAAAAAUUAUUUUAAUUGACGUGACAUACACAAUAAAAAUUUAUCAUGAGAAGCACGUCUUUGAUUCUACUCUUUGCUAUGGUCGGAACUUUGAUAUACUCCGAAGUAAGCGGUACUUUGGUCGGACCUAAUAUUUGUCGCAUAAUUAAGUGUAAAAAACCAAUUUUAAAACGUGGUUAAAUAAUCGUUGUGUCGUGGAAUAAAUGAAAGGUCCUGAUGAGAUAUAAGCACAAUAUUAUACUAUGAAAAUAUAAGAUUCUAUGAGAAGUUAA